CAACAAGUAUAUGGGUGAUGGAUAUCAGAUUUGGAAGAAACCUAAGAAUAGAUUAAAAAAGAGAAAUGGUUAAAAUAAUAUCGUUAAAUGUUCAAGGUCUAAAUUCCCCUAGUAAACGAGCAAUUCUGUUUGAUUACAUUAAGAAAGAAAAAGCUCAUAUCAUCUUUCUACAGGAGACACACUGGAAGAGAGAUGAUAAGUUAAGAUUCAUUCCACAAAGUUUUUCAACAGUAAUAUCUGCCACAUUAGAGAGUCAGAGGAAAAGAGGUGUAGCCAUUAUGAUAAGUGACG